GAGGGUGUAGCUCAGUGGUAGAGCACACGUCCAGCACACAUGAGGCCCUGGGUUCAAUCCCCAGGACCUCCA
rnacentral:tRNA from 1 species